GAUCCUGGCUCAGGAUGAACGCUGGCGGCGUGCUUAACACAUGCAAGUCGAGCGAAGCACUCUGCUUUGAUUCUUUCAGGAUGAAGAGCAUUGUGACUGAGCGGCGGACGGGUGAGUAACGCGUGGGUAACCUGCCUCAUACAGGGGGAUAACAGUUAGAAAUGGUUGCUAAUACCGCAUAAGACCACAGCACCGCAUGGUGCAGGGGUAAAAACUCCGGUGGU
rnacentral:rRNA from 1 species